ensembl:snRNA U6 U6 spliceosomal RNA
GUAACAGUGCUCACUUAGACUAAAGUUGGAACCACACAGAGAAGAUUAGCAUGGCCCUUGUGCAAGGAUGAUAUGCAAAUUCAUGAAGCAUUCCAUAUUAAA